ACCUAUUUACACAUGCUUCCAAGGUGUUGUCAUCAUAGCUCUGCUAGUCAGAAAAGCCUCCAAGUUAACCCUAGAAAAUAAUUCAACUUUUUACAGCCCACAUAGUGUGGCAGGAUCACUUUCCUCUAAAGGGAACUCUUAGCUAGAAAACAGCUGGUAAAGAAGGUACAUAAGGCAGGAUCAGCAGUAGUCACUCUCCCCAAACACAAGCACUCAGUUGGCUGAGCUGAUAGCUCUUACAACAGCACAUAAAUUAAGCAAAAGCAAGGUAGUUAAGUAACCUCAUCCCUGUCCAAGCUGUGACAAAAACACUGGGAACAGAACUGCCCAGAGGCAGAGAUCACUGUGUUCAAAACAUUUAUGCUAACUCCAAGUAUGCUUUUCUAAUUUUCCAUGCUUAUACUGCCAUUUUAAAAAGGCAUUUUUUUUUUUUUAACCGCUGAUGAAUCUCCCAUAAAGUAUCACCAGGAAAUUAACAGGCUAUUAUCCUCAGAUUUUCUUACACAAGAAAUAGCAGGUAUGCGUUGUAGGGAACAUCAAAAGAAAAUAAAUAAGGUAGCCAAAGAAAAUAAAUUAGCUCAUCAGGAAGCUAAGUCAGAGGCAAGAAAGCCUCAAGGCAUUGACAUAACUAGCAAAGUCCAAGGAAAUAAACGAUCUCUAUUUAACCCAGGAAAUUUAGUAUUAGUGAAAACUCUCCUCUCUAUCCUUCCUUAAGCCAAGCUGGGAAGGGACCCUACACUGUUCUUUCAAUGCUCUUGGCAGCAGAAGUUACACAAGUCAACUCGUAAAUACGUCACACUGAAGUCAAAGCCUAAAAGCUGAAGGAGCAACCCUUAGCAGCCCAGAGAUACGACCAGAAUAUCAAUGUGGAAAAAUAGAAAAUCUUAAGCUAAAAAUCAUAAACAUUAAGUAACUGAGUAACGGUUACUCAUAUGACUCAGUCCCACCUUUACCUAAACAGAUACUUUUUGUCAUUUCUGCCCUUACCUCUCAAAGUUUGCUACCAAAUAUUAAAACUUCUUUUUAUUGCAUAUUUGCAGGAAAUUUUUAAUUAUACAUGAUAUUGCACUUGUAACUCUGUAAAUCCCAAAAAGGGAAAUGUUUAACCUUGGGCAAGUAAAGUUUUAAACAAUUUUUUUUUUUAACUACACCACCCUUGUGGCAAUUGUUAUAGUCAUGCUACCAUUUGCAAUAAAACCAAACAUUGUGGCACCCACAAUGUGGGAUUCUGGUUGUAAAAUUUUAAUUUGUGCUCCUAUGAGAAUCUGAUACUGGGGCUGAUUGGACAGGAGGCCACUCAGGCAGUAAUGCUUACAUGAUACCUCCUGCUGUGUGUCUCCAUUCCUAACAGGCCACGGAUUGUUGCUGGUCUGUAGAUUGGAGAUUGGGGACCUCUGCUCUAGGAUAUAUCACUUUCAGGGCUCCAUCUAAAAGCCUAACUCUCCCUCCCACUUGGCAGACACCAGCCUACAAUUUUUGUAUCUUCAGAUCCACAAGAUUGUUAGAAGUUCUACUUUGCCACCACCUAUGACUCAACAUCUAAUUUACAGUACUAUUUAAAUUUCCCCAGUUGUCCAAAAGAAUGUCCUUUGUAGCUGUUUUUAAAUCCAUCCAAUCAGGUUUCAUGCACUUUGUUUCUAUGCUUCUUUAGUCUCUUUUAAUCUAGAACAUUCUCCCUGACUUGUUACGACAUUUUUUGAUGUUUUUUGAAUUUGUCAUGCAUGAAGCUUCAAAAAUGAAAAUUCCUAGCUUGGUGUGUACUAGGAAUUGAAAGGAAGUCAGUAUAUCAAGUUUUUCUUGCACCACAUGAUAUCCUCUCAGCCCCCACCUGUUCAUCCAGCCAUUACUGAGACGACCAGGUCCAGACAGUUUCUCACUAGCUUCAUGCAGGUACACACAGUGCCUUUCCUUCAUAUCUAUCUUUCCAGUACCUUUCUCUUUCUGGCACUGGGCUUCUUUGAGAUGGUAAAAUAAGACUCCUGCAGAAAUCUUCUCAGCACCCAUACAUCUGGAAACCAAAAUUGGGAAGACUUCAUACCAAUAGGAUAACUUUUUAACAGCUGGGGAUGGCGGCAGGUGGAUAAAUGCUUCAUUUCAUCUUCUGGGCAGAGAGUACUUAAAAAAAAAACAUUUCAUAUUUGGGGGGGAGAUGGUGGAAACAAGCUUUUUUGCCAGAGAAAGUCAUAGAAGUUGGACCCUCAUAAUUGGAGCCUAAAUCUCUUAUUGGGCAGAUCACAGUAAAGAGCCAUUGCUGGAGAACACUGACAUUGAUCCCCAGGAGAAUCUGGGCAGAGAAGUAGAGAAAGUUCCUGCAUGAACCUGCCCCACACUAGGCCGCUUGGCUCUGCCAGGUAAUAAUAAAUGGCCAACACUGUUACAGCUUUGCCCAUCCACUCCCACCAUGUUCUGUGAAGAUGGUUCAAGUGUAAAGAGAUGUCUCUCUGAUCUCAAUGUCUGUCUGCAAUUGAGGGAGAUGACUGUACUUCUCAUUGUUGAGAAAUUCCUCUGUAGGAUCCCCAGAGCCUCCUAACAGCAUGAUCUCUCCUCACCCUUUUCCCUACACUUGGUCAUUUAAAAAAUCACCAACUUCCCAGGAUUUGGCUCUUUCCUUAAGAGGGAAAGAGGAAGUGGUCAUCCCCAUGAAGGCCCAAGGAACUUGAUGGGAGGCGUCCAGAAAUCAAGGAGAAUAAACCUUCUUGGGACUCCAGGAGUGGGUUAUAAGGUCCCUGGAAUGUUUGAGAAGACAUUAGGUACAGCGUCCUUCUAUAGCAUAUUGUUGACAUCAGAGACUCUGAGACAAAAUCCUUACCCAAUCUCAUAUGACUCACUGCACUGAAAUCUUAGAUAGCUGUUUACAGCCACACAGGUAUACCUCGUGGCUUUGGGGAGAAAUUUUGUAACUUGAGGACAAUCUGGUGGAAUUUCCUUAUUCUUUCCAUUGUUCUCAGGAUAUUUAUUGUAUGUAAUGAUGCCUGGCUCUGUACAGGCUGCCAUGCAGGAACUUUGGAAAAAGACACACUUCCCACAUGAAAAUUUCAAUUAAAGCAAUAGUUAGAGAAUCA